rnacentral:rRNA from 1 species
GGAAUCUUCCACAAUGGACGCAAGUCUGAUGGAGCAACGCCGCGUGAGUGAAGAAGGUCUUCGGAUCGUAAAACUCUGUUGUUAAAGAAGAACACGUAUGAGAGUAACUGUUCAUACGUUGACGGUAUUUAACCAGAAAGUCACGGCUAACUACGUGCCAG